CAUAGGUAUAUCAUGAUGUGGUACGAUGAUGAAAUGAGGAUUCAACUCGGCGAAAUGCAAAAUGGUGCUGAUCUGUCCCUGUAGCACGGCACGUGGCAACGGUCGGAGAUGUGUGGCAGGUGUUCGCUAUCUGCUGAACUGACUCGUGCGCCAUGAUAAAAGUCCGACAAAAUUGGAAGUCGUUUUUGUUGAAGUCACAGCUUUCCACUAAUAUUGUGACUUUCAAUUCGAGGACAAUCUGGAUAUGGAAUGACAUAGGAUAGCGUGCCCGAUAGAAGCAGGAGAACGCGUUAAAUAUGUAGGAAUUGGUCGGAGAACAAUAGAUUCAUCAUGAAGAAAAUAUCCUGAACUCCAAGCGUAGCACCCACAAAUAUCAUUAUUUACACCUUUGCCAUUUGAUGCCGGUUUGCUUAUAAAUCGCCCAAGUCAAG